UAACUCCUCAAAAAUCUUCAAAAUUGGAAGGGGGAUUCAGCUCAAACCCGAUGCAUGAACCCUAAUAUAUGAUCAUCAAGGCUUGCUGAACAUGUGGAAUCAUGUCAAGAUGGAUGGGAGCGUUGAAGUCCAACGGGCUAAGAAGACUCAAUCAAGUAAGCGAACGCAAAUACGGACGCGCAAGGUAAAUCUAUUGCUUGAUGCGGCGCACCCGGACCGAGCACACACGACGUUGACCUUAAUACGCUUCCGGUUCAAGUUGUUUCUUUUGAAUGGUCGAAACGUCCUUUUGUGUAGGAAAUGUUAAACUAGUUAUUAGGAUGAUGGUAGUAGUUUGAGGUUAAACUUUAUUUUGAUUAGUGUCAUAGAAUGUAUCUUGAA